rfam:Brevibacillus parabrevis strain CN1 contig_86, whole genome shotgun sequence.
GGUGAGGGUAGAGGUCGCGGCUUUUAUGUCAUCCUGUACGAGAUUCAGAAGAAAUCUAUGACUCCAGGAAAGGGAAAAGCCGCCGAAGCUCAUAUCGCAUCUCUGUGCGCGUGGGCUGGGGCUGUACCCGAAAGGGACAGAACUGUCACGUUUGCUUGCCGGGCAAACGUGGUGUGCUAUCUUCAGU